rnacentral:tRNA from 1 species
GGAGGUAUAGCUCAGUGGUAGAAUGUGUGCUUAGCAUGCAUGAGUUCCUGGGUUCAAUCCCCAGUACUUCCA